GUUUUUGGUUUUUAAUUUUAAACAAAACAAAAACGAAA
rnacentral:sRNA from 1 species